UACAGAGGUGGCAAGCGUUGUUCGGAAUUACUGGGCGUAAAGGGCGCGUAGGCGGCCUUGUAAGUCCUGUGUGAAAUCCCCCGGCUCAACUGGGGAACUGCACAGGAGACUGCUUGGCUUGAGUUCGGGAGAGGGAAGCGGAAUUCCAGGUGUAGCGGUGAAAUGCGUAGAUAUGUGGAGGAACACCGAUGGCGAAGGCAGCCCCCUGGGUUAACACUGACGCUCAUGCACGAAAGCGUGGGGAGCAAACAGG
rnacentral:rRNA from 1 species